rnacentral:rRNA from 1 species
UACGAAGGGGGGCUAGCGUUGCUCGGAAUUACUGGGCGUAAAGGGCGCGUAGGCGGGUCGUUAAGUUAGAGGUGAAAGCCCAGGGCUCAACCCUGGAAUUGCCUUUAAUACUGGCGGCCUUGAGUAUGGCAGAGGUGUGUGGAACUCCGAGUGUAGAGGUGAAAUUCGUAGAUAUUCGGAAGAACACCAGUGGCGAAGGCGACACACUGGGCCAUUACUGACGCUGAGGCGCGAAAGCGUGGGGAGCAAACAGG